CUAAUUUUUCUGAAUUUUGGAGAGGAGUCAAAUUUUCUCUCUCUUUUCCAUUUAAUAGGUAUAGAGAUGGUUUACUUUACUUGAAAAUUUUGAGUCAAUCUUUUAUAGGAAAUAAGUUGAAGUUAAAAUAUUAUCUUGAUUCAUGUGGUUAACCUGCUAUAUUUGGAAAGAUCGCAUACUUAUACUAGACUAAAGGAUCAAAAAUAUUUCAUCUAGCUAGCCUUUUUAGGUAAGGUCGUGGAUUGAUGCAAAUUAUAGAUUAAAUUAUAAAAAAAAUGAAGUACAAAUUUAGACAAAUGUAAUGGCUAGCUAUUUUAGAUGAGAUUCUAAAUUAUUAUAGAUUAUGGGUCAAUUCAAAAAAAGAUUUAAAGAAUUAAAUUGAGGCUAAUAUCAUGAUUGAAUCAAGCUAAGUUAUUAUUUUGCUUUCACUCUAUUUGAGAGCCCGUUUUUGAUUGAUUGAUUCUUUGACAAAAGCCAUACCAAAUCAAAGAAUAAAACAAUUUUUCAUUUAAUUUGCUAACAAGGAGGACAAGCCUCAACAAAGCUAAAAUCUACAGGAGAUACAUCCGUACCUAAAAGACACAAUCAGUGACAUCAACUGAGGUGGGCAUCUUUUGUUUAUGGACCAUACACUCAUUGUUGCCCUCCUAGUAUCCUAGCGAUAACUUUAAGCCAAAUAUUUUUGUCUACAAUAAAACAAAGAAGGCAUACAUAUCAUUAAUAUACAAGUAUUGAUUUAAAAUCAAGGUUGAUCACCAAAUUAAUGCUAUUCACUUAAGAGAAGAAGUUAUUUUUUCUGAAAUUAAAAAGGCCGAAGAAAGUCCUCCGCUCAUCCUUACAUAAAUAAAUAAAUAAAUAAAGUCCCCUGCUCGCUGCCUCCAAC
rnacentral:lncRNA from 1 species